rnacentral:lncRNA from 1 species
UCCUUUGAGAAACAAGCUGAAGUAAUGAGCAGACAUUAUGGAGGCCCAGUCCCACAGCUCGACGACAACUGAGAGGAAGAAAGCUGAAAGUUCCAUUGCGAAGUGUCCCACAAGAACAGAUGUCAGUGAGAAGGCCGUGGCCUCCAGUACCACUUCAAAUGAGGAUGAAAGUGCUGGACAGAUCUAUCACCGAGAGAGAAGAAACGCAAUCACUAUGCAGCCUCAGAGUGUGCAGGGUCUCAGCAAAAUCAGUGAGGAGCCCUCAACAUCUAGUGAUGAGAGGGCCUCGUUGAUCAAGAAAGAGAUCCAUGGAUCUCUACCACAUCUGGCUGAGCCCUCUCUCCCUUAUCGUGGGACUGUGUUUGCCAUGGAUCCCCGGAAUGGUUACAUGGAGCCUCACUACC